rnacentral:rRNA from 1 species
AGUGAACGCUGGCGGUAGGCCUAACACAUGCAAGUCGAACGGCAGCACAGUAAGAGCUUGCUCUUACGGGUGGCGAGUGGCGGACGGGUGAGGCAUACAUCGGAAUCUACUUUUUCGUGGGGGAUAACGUAGGGAAACUUAUGCUAAUACCGCAUACGACUUACGGGUGAAAGCAGGGGAUCUUCGGACCUUGCGCGAUCGAAUGAGCCGAUGUCGGAUUAGCUAGUUGGCGGGGUAAAGGCCCACCAAGGCGACGAUCCGUAGCUGGUCUGAGAGGAUGAUCAGCCACACUGGAACUGGGACACGGUCCAGACUCCUACGGGAGGCAGCAGUGGGGAAUAUUGGACAAUGGGCGCAAGCCUGACCCAGCCAUACCGCGUGGGUGAGGAAGGCCUUCGGGUUGUAAAGCCCUUUUGUUGGGAAAGAAAAGCAGCAGGUUAAUACCCCGCUGUUCUGACGGUACCCAAAGAAUAAGCACCGGCUAACUUCGUG